GGCGAAUUGGAAUUCAGGGGUGGGGCGGACUUGAAUUCAGGUGUACAGAGGAGGCGCUGAUGUAGGCGAACGGAGGGGGAGGCUUCCGAGGGAGCGUCGAACCAGGGAGGCGGCGCGUCGGACCGGGGAAGGCGGAGCAUCGGACCGGGGGAGGCGGCGCGGCGGAGUCAAAGGUGCCGAGCCAGAAGAGCGUCUUCUUCCCCGGCGAGUCAGCAGUGGCGGAGCAACACUGCCGCGUGCGCGGCUC
rnacentral:lncRNA from 1 species